AUCUAAAGAAGAACAACGACUCAUAUUUAAGGGCAUCAGGCGGUUUGCUAUUUAGUUUGGAUAUAAAUCAGUGAUUAAACUGUCUGAAGCCCUAACCUGUUUUGGGCCAGCCAGAGUCAAAGUGGCGGCGGCGGCGUUCCACAGGCGACAGACUCUGCUGACCCUGCACCGCAAAAACAACAGCGAGUCGGACCCCAAACUCUGAAUCCACUCAACCACAGACUGAAGGCAGCUCCUCAUGUGAAAUGCUGUUAAUACCUGCAUAGGAAAGGCACCGCGCCGUCCUGAACAACCAACAUCUGGAAGAUGUUGACCAGCACCUCCUCAGGUAGGUCCUGACAGAAAGCCACUUAUGUCAACAAACAGAAAACUGAGGUGUUGCCUUCGGGUUCCCUAGACCUCACUCUGGAUAAACCAGUCCCACCAGCAGCUUCCACUUCCAAACCCAGUCUAACCAGCUCUUAUUUAGGCAUUUCCAUGUCAACUCUGUUGUUUUAAUAUUUCCAUAAAUAUCCAUCUGUAACCUGGUUGUAUUUCUCUUUUGUUAUAAUUACACAAAAUGUCUUGUUUUGAUUAUUCAUGCUGUUCCUUACCUGGGUGAAACACCUGUAAAAACUCUGUCAUUGUUUUAUCCGUGUAACUUUAAGAUUUUAAGCCCCGCCUUUUUAUUUCUUCUUCGGUGGUAUUGUCUGUAAAUUGUUUGCGCCCUUAGCCCCGCCCCUUUUGUCAUGUUGUCCUGCCAGAGAGGUGUGUGCUGUAUAUUUUUCAUGUAAAUACAUCCGGUUUAUGUAUAGAUCUAGAAGUUAAUUUUUGUUAUCACCAUUGUAAUAUAUGAAUCCAUUCUGUGAUAUAAACAUUUAAGUGAACCUACAAUUGCAAAAUAGCAGGAAUUAACUUUAGUUUUGUUAUGUACUUUUGUUUUGUGUAAGGCUUGGAGCGGGCGGUUGUUUUCUGUUGGUUUUUCUCGUCAGAACAAAUUCAGAAACCAUCCAUUUAAAGACAAACCGCGUCAUGGCCUGACCAUUCAAUAAAACCAGCACAACGCAGAAAGU